CAGUGGCCAAGGAGGUAGGAGCUCGGAUGCGAGCAUUGCAGGAACCGCUCUAGCUGAGUGAAGGAGGGCAGCUCGAAGAGAGAUACCAGGUUGUAUGGAGAUCUCCAAUAGGAUAAAUUUCUACUCUGCCACUUCAAUCCUGAAGAUCCUCUGAAAAAACAGGCAACAAACACCAACUCUCUGCUGCAAAAGAUAAAACAUCAAGAAUGGCAUCAAGAAUAGGCAUGAUGAAUCACCUGGUAGGCAACGUAAUAACGAAGUGGCUCCAAGUCUCUAGAUUCAGAAGCACUCUAUGCACGACAAGGUGGAGGAAGUGCUCCAAAUACUAACUUGCAGCAAAAGAUAAACUACAGAAAAAAAGAAAAGACAAAAAAACGUACCACAUGCAGUUAUGUCAUAUAAAUGCAAACACUGCAGGUGUUCUGUCUCAGACUGCAGGCAGUAAGUAGGAACUGAGUGCCAAUGGUGAUCAUUGUGCCCUUUACACUCUUGGCCAAUGCAGCUUGUUAAGUAAGAAGGAAACAGGCAGAGUUGCAAUAGCUACUGCUAUGAAAAAGAAUCCAGCCUACAUGGACAACUAUUUGAAUGUUUAUUUUCUACAGAGUUACUCUUUGAUCAAGUUUGUUUCCAACACCACCUUUUUUGUCUGAAACUGGCACGGGAGGGAAAAGGGAGGCAAUACAGGGCCAAGGCCACUGAAAUAAUGUCUCAGCUGCUCUCAAAAGCUGCCAGCACCAGGAAGAGGAUAAAGUGAAGGAAGAAUGAAGCACUCCUAGAGAGCUACAGCUUUAUAUUCUUACUCCAACCCAGAGAUUAUUUUUAUUUCUUACAGGUGAAAAAAAAUGUCAGCCAUUCUUUUAAAACAAGCCACAGUGAUUUUUUUUUUUUAUUUCUUUCUUAUACAGCUCAAGAAUAACUGAACUAAACAAUAUAACAAUAGGUUCAACUAACCAGCUGUCAUUGACAUCUAUUGUCUUUCACAAAAUAUAAAUAAAAAACCUACUGAAUUAUAAAAAAGCACUAUUUGUGUAUGUAAUAAUUUUAUUACCACUAGGAGCCAACACAGUUAUUGAAAGUUUUAUGACCAAUAGCUGAGUAAAAACUGUUCUGUACAAAAAUCUAGCUUUAUACAGACUGCAAAGCAGAAAGAGAUUCUGAUUACAAUCUUUAUGUUAUUGCAUAACUUUUGACUCUCGUGGAAAGUUUGAGAACUGAAAGAACAAGCCUAUGUUUGUAAACACAGCAAUCUAAAAAUUUCAUGUCAAAGCACUUCAGAAGUUUGCAGACGCCCCAAGCUCCAUUUUCCUAUUUUAUCUAAA